rnacentral:lncRNA from 1 species
UUGUUAUCUUUCCUUGGCUUUCAAUGGAUCAAAUAAGCAUCUAAUCUAAAUAUAUGUAUGCAUGCACUCAUUUUAAUGUUCAAAUUAAUGUCAAAACAGAACUAAAAAAUCCCCUGCAACAGAACUAAAACACAAAAAAUUACUUAAAAAAUUUAAUUUAUUUGAAAUUUGGACCAAAUACACCUAGACUUUUUGUAGACUAAUUUUUACUUAUAUCUAAUUAUAGCUAAAAUAAUAGUCAAUAUUUAACAAUUGAUACUUAAAAGACAAUUUAGUAAUAGUCACAAAAAAUGUACUCAUUAGUGAUACUGCUACUUUUGAUUGUAUAAGAGAAAAUAUAGUUAACAAAGUUUAUGUAUCGAUCUUAAUUUUUUAUUUUAUAUCAGAUAAGUCAACUUUUAUUUAUUUAAUUAUCUCUUAUAUUUAAGACAUGCUGGUAUAUUAAGUUUAAAUAAAGAAUUUUCACACCGGAUGAAAAAUUAAUAUUGAACAUUGUAUAAGUGAAAAGAUCUAUAAAACUUAUUGCCUUAAAUAAAAACGUGGUUUUGAAUUCAGUUAUGUUAUGAUAAUCCAUUGAACUCCCUGAUGACCCAAGAGGCCCGGAGAUAGUACUAAUUUGUAAAGUAGUUAAAAAUAGUUAGGGAGUAAUGUGAAGGAAGCUAAAACAGAAAGAUGUAGCCACUACUCUAUGAAGCUACUAUACCUCAUUCAUGAGUGUGUGAGUCAUGUGACUGGCCUUGAAACUCCAUUCCAUUCACAUGGGUCUGUUUGAUGGCAUUGAAUAUGAAAUUUAAG